UGCAUAUGUGUGUGUGCAUGUGUGUGUAUGUAUGUGUGUGCGUGUGUGCAUAUGUGUGUGCACAUAUGUGCAUGUGUAUGUAUGUAUGUGCGUGUGUGUGCAUGUGUGUGUGCAUGUGUGUGUGCAUAUGUGUGUGCAUGUGUGUGCAUAUGUGUGUGCAAGUGUGUGUGCAUGUGUGUGCAUGUGUGUGUGCAUGUGUGCGUGUGUAUGUAUGUGUGUGUGUGCAUGUGUGUGUGCAUGUGUGUGUGUGUGUGUAUAGGGGGUGGGCAAGUCCCCUGACAUAGAAAAGCCCGUUCUUCCAGGAGAUGCCCCGUUUGUCCAGGAGAUGCCCCUAAGGUCCUUCUCUUGACCACUUUAAAGGAAAGGUAGAAAUAAGUAGGGAGACAAACGUGCUUGACCAACUCAGAGAAAGGUCUAAGUAAGUCACUGGACGUGUGGUGCUUUUCUUGGUUAUGCUGUGAGAGAGAGUCGACAGGCAUGGUGAUGAAUGCCUGUGGUCUUUGCUCCUUUGAAGGCUGAUGCAGAAGGAUCGCUUGUUUAAGGCUUGUCUGCAUUACAGAGUGGGUUCAAGGCCAGCCUAAGCAACUUGGUAAGCAUCUGUCUCAAAAUAAAAAGUACGAAAGGGGCUGAGGAAUCUAGUUCAGUGGUGGUUUAAAUAAAAAUGGCCCCCAUAGGCCCACAGGGAGUGGCACUAUUAGGAGGUGUGGCCUUGUUGGAGAAGGUGUGGCUUUGUUGGAGGAAGUGUGUCACUUGGAGACAGGCUUCGAGGCCUCAGAAGCUCAAGCCUGGCCAGUAUGUCACUGUCACUUCUUGCCAAUCUGGAUGUAGAACUCUCAGCUCAUUCUCCAGCACUAUGUCUGCCUGCACGCUACCAUGCUUCCUGCCAUGAUGAUAAUGGACUCCAAAACAAAACGGAGGAAGGAAGAAGCGAACACUAGAUCGAGCUUCCUAGAGGUGCCAGGCCUGAGGAAAGCACUUCCGAAUUUGAAAUUGAAACUCCGACUCUGCUAUAAAUAGUGUCGCCCGUGGGUGCAGCUGGGGAAUCUGCAGGUGACAAAUUGAAGUGUGUGGCCAAGAGUUACAAGACGAAUAGCUGGCAGAACUGGAAUUUUAGUUCCUAUUAUAAAUAAGACGUAUUGUUCUCAAUGCUAACCUCAUUGAGAGAAAAUCAGUUAGCAAGUUCACGGCUAUGUCGGACUUGAUCUUUGGCUACUGGAUUUUCUUGGGUUAGAACUGAAAAUAAUGGAUAAAGGAGCGACCUAUGUUCUUGUGCUUGUUGGUAUUAACAGUGGGACACACUCAGGUCUGAAGUGGUCCCUCCCGUGAUUUUCCCGUGAUUUUGUUGUUGUUACUGAAGGAACUGAAACCCAAAAGAAGUCCAUAAUUAGGCAAAAAAAAAUGUGUCCCAAGGAAUAAAAUCCCCUUCCCCAGUGGGGAAAAACAAACAAACAAAUAAAAUAUAAAAAAACAGCCUCUGAAACUAUCAGGGUCCCUAAAGGAGAGCAGGCUUUCAGAGGAGGGUCAGUCUAGCACCCCUGGCUAUGGCUGAUGAAGAGAAAGCAUUUUCCUGCUGCUAGCCAUUCACGGACAAGGUUGGUGUUGAUUAUAAUUAGAGCCACCUUUCUAGGAGGGGGUGGGUGCUUCCAAUGCCAGCUCUGCAUUUGCAUCUGGCAGCUGGGACGCUGCCACCUGGCCUGCUCUGUUCUCCAGAGACCUCUCAGCUGCUUUCCCGGGACAGGUGUGAUGGGGGCAAGGGAGGGAGAAAACAGCAGGGACAGCGACCAUCCUGCAGGCAGCCAUUCACAGUGUGAGUCUGCCCUGCUCAUGCAGCAGACUUCUGCUAUUCCAGGACCCCUCAAUGGCUGCUCGCUUUCUAGACCAAUGGGCUCUGGGGUGAUAAGUUCAAUCCCCAGUUCUGUCAAACCUGCAGUUUCUUCCAUGACCUACUUUCCUCACUCUGUGGUACUGCAACAAUGCCUUGCUCUGAUCCUUGUUUAGACUCAUUUUUUGCCUGCCAUGGUAGGAAGCCCAGGCUUUUGCCAAGCUCUCCCCCCACCCCACCCCCACACCCCUUGAAUCCCUGACAAGUGUUGAUGGGAAGAGAAAAAAAGAGAGGGGGAAAAAAACAAGGGAAAGAGAGUUUUUAGCUCUCCCAUAGACUCUCGGGCUCCAGAGGGACCAAAAACUGGCCCAUCAAUAAGAGAAAAAUCAAGAUGUGCUUCUCAAUUCAGAGCAGAAUUGGAAUCUGAGCCUGUUCCUCUCUAGCGAUCUACCUUUCACAGCCCACCUCCAUUUCCUCAGGGAUAGUGAGAAAUAAGCCAUGCAAUGUCAGGAAUGCUCUGGACCCCACAGCAUCAAAGAAAGUGCUGCUUCUGAAGGAUCAGACUUCAAGGAAGAUUUCUCUAAAAGCAUGUCCACCAUGUCUUGGGUGAGCCAGCCCAACAAAAUCCUUUUCACACUCACGGCCCACACCUAUUAUUGAGAAAGUGGAGUGAUCAAGGCCCAGAAGAGUCUUUGUGCUCUGUGAGUCAAAUGUAAGAUCUGCAAGCAGACACCAGGUAACUUGACCCAGGAAAUAAUACAGAAGAACAAUAAAACCAUAACCAGCCUUUAUUGAUUGGUUUCCAUUGCCACGACGGUCCUGCGUGCUUUUGAAUUUGUGGUGUGCCUUCUUGUCCAAGACCCCUGGAUACAGAUCCUGCGGACGACCUCAUGUCAUAAAUCCUGGGGUGCAGGGCAGAGUGCCUGGUUCCUAAGGGGCCAGCUUGGACCUGCAUCAUCAAUCUCUCUAGAGCCCGUACCUGCCAUGGACUCUGGGUCUAGCUUUAAACUACCUUCAAAUGCCGCCUUCCAGUAUUUUCUCAUCUCAUCUCAAAUACUAGGAUGACUUUGGUAGACUGUGACCUCCACGGCCUCCAGCAGUCUCUCCUCUGGCCACCUCUGUGAACCCUGAGCUGAAUUCACCCUGGCUCCUUCCCCCUACUUGAACCUGCCAACAUACACUCUUCUGAGACACCCUCCCUGUUUCCUCUCCUAGAGGACUGGGGCUUUCAAAAUGACCAUGCUGGUCUCAGGGUGGAGGGCAUCCCAAACCCCAAGUCCCUUUUAGUCCAGGGUGAUGUGUGCUUUGGAAAAUGUAAAGGGAAUUCCAGAGAUUCUGAGAGACUCUCCUCUGGGAGUAAAAUAGAGGGCUCCUCAGGGAUGUCCUUUUCUCUGUGUCCCCUCUCCCACUAUAUCUGCUCCUGAGUGAGGAUAGAGUUUAAAGCUGUACUGUGUGCCUCAAAAACCACAGAAUGCACUCACUUUGGACCUACUAAGAACAUAAAGGUGGAAGGAAAACUCCUGGGAACUUGCUGUCAUGAAACAGUUCCCUAAUCUGAAAUGACUAACUUGCAGGUUUAAAAAUUACUUUGGGGUUGGGAAGGUGAGUCAGUGGGAAAAAACACUUUCUGUGUAUACAGGACUCAAGUCUGUAUCCACAGCACCCACAUAGAAAAAGCCAGACAUGGCUGCAAGUACCUGUAAUACAGCACAGGAGUUGGGGAAAGGGGUGGUAGUAGGGGCAGGAUGAUUUCUAGGGCUUGCUGACAGCCAGCCUAACUAGGUACAAACAAUCAAACAACGAAGAAACCCAGUAAGCUUCUGGGUCAGUUUCAGAUUAUCUGGUGUUUGCUUAUAGAUCUUGCAUUUGCCUUAUAGAGCACAAGGAUCUUUGGGGCCAUUUCACUGGUUCCUUGGUCACUUCACUUUCAGUAACAGCCGAGACCAUGAGUGUGACCCUGUUUCAAAUGGAUACGGCAGAGAACAAUAGAACAGAAUAACUGUUAUCUUUCUCUAGGUGCUAUGAACACAUGGGUACACAAACCUGGGCGGGUGCACACUAAUUAAAUCACCGGUGGUCAAUUAAUCAUAUCUUUUUGUUACUUUUAGCUGAGAGCAUCUACUGGAUGGAGUUACCCACCCAUGAUCAACCCUCAGGAGGCUAUGUGGCAACUUCUUACUCAGUGUUGGUUACCGCCAUCCAUCCCCGCCCUUCCCCAUCCAACUGAUUCAUCUCCUGUGCCUCUCCCCAAAUUGCCCCAGUAAAGACAACCUGUCCAACA